GGCGUGGGUGCGGAAAGGAGACUCGAAAGUGAUACGGAUUCGGAAGUGGCACAAGCACGAAGAAUGCUCGCCUUGCGAGCAACAUGCACAACCUCUCGCGUCAAUUCUAUAAGGAAGCUGAUCAACUCUUCAAUGAAAUUGCAUCCGUGGAGUUGAUUCAAUCGUUUAGAUUGUUGCGGCAACCAGCCAUGGCCUCGCAUACGCCGGAGUCCAGAAUGAGCCACUCCAACCCGUUUCUUCUAUAUACACUCUUAAACCAUUUCUUCCCCACCUAUUUCUGAUUAGAUAUGCUUGACAGGUGAAUGGCGUGGGUGCGGAAAGGAGACUCGGAAGCGGCACAAUUAUGUGUUUGUUGUAGAAUGUCUACAUUCCUAGAUUUUAACACUUUUGGAAUAUAAGUUUGCCGGUUGUGGAGGUGACCAUAAUAUCGUAGGUUCCUAUGGGUAGGCACGAACAAUGCUCGAUUUGCAUGCAAGCUGUGCAAGUUCUCACGGCUUUACUAUAAGGAAGCUGGUCCAAUCUUCGGUUUUUGGAUUGCUCGAGGCGUUGCAACUUUUGGGGUGGGCAUUCUGACUAUUGCGCCAUACUAUUGUUUCCGGUUUCUGUUAAUAAUGUAAGUAUAUAGUACACAUCUCUUGCUUAAAGGACUUCAAGUUUCUUUUAAUUCCUUCGGAUAAGUGACUGACUAUUUCUCAUCAWGCUUUGAGUGGUGGCUCGACCGDAAAUUGGCCGCCAUUCAAUAUAGGGCUGUCAACGGGUGGGAUCCGGGUCCGGUCUAGGUAGAAGCACUCCCGAAUAGAUGAUUAAUUGGGACAAAAUCUUGGACCCAAAACCGUCCAUUUUAACUUAAAAUUUAGGUUGAAACAAAAACAUAGGUUUAAUACCGAACCAUUUAAGCUAAAAAAAAACCACUUUUCUUAU